rnacentral:lncRNA from 1 species
UUGUUAAAAAUGUUUUAAUGUGUUCUUUGGAACCCCUAAGUACCCUAGUUUGGUUAGAUGUUAUUUCCCUUAAGUAAGAAUGGUUUUGGAAUGUUUUUGGGUGAAAAAAGUUCAUGGAAAAAUUUGGGUUUUUCAUGGAUGUUCUUCAUUGUUCUUGAUGUUCUUGCCAAGAACAAAAAGGUUUGGUUGUUUUUGAUUCAAAGUUUUGAUUUAUUUCAUAAAGUUUAUGUGAUAUGUUUUUAAAUGAUUUAUCAUGUAUUUAAAGUGUUAGAUAUUUGUAUAAAUGAUGAUUGAAAUAAUUGUGAUUGAAUUAUUUCAAAAACUUAUCUUACAUACACUUGCAUGUUUUUGACAAAACUCACAAAUCAACACACACACCAACCUUAUCCCUCCCCAAAACCGGCCACUCCCUCAAAGGGAGUACUUUUGGGGCUUUUAUGCAAUUACAUAAAGUUUUGAUACUUUUGUGUAUUUGCACUUUGGCCCAAAAGUUUACGUUUUUACGUUUAGGUCCAAAAACGCUAAAGGACAAAUUGUUUUGUUCCUUUAAUGAAGUUUUUGCAUUAUUAAAAGUUUGGGUUCUAGUUGUAUUUACAUGAAGUAGUGACUUUUGUGUAUUGUACAAAGUGACCCCAAAAGUUUUUUGUUAUUGCAAUAUGGCCCAAAAGUUGAGGUUAAUUGCAUGAUGGCCCAAAUAGGAUGAGAACAAAAUUGUUUUGUCUCUUUAAAUGAGAAUUGGAUUUUCAUUAUGUUUAGCUCCAUUUAAAUCAAUUUUAUGGAUACAAAAACCAAAUGAAAAUGUUGCAUUCAAUUUAA